rnacentral:tRNA from 1 species
GCGGCAAUAGCUCAUUGGUAGAGAUCCCGCUUGGCAUGCGGGGAGACCUGGGUUCGAUUCCGGGUUGCUUCC